AUACGUAGAGGGCAAGCGUUGUCCGGAAUCACUGGGCGUAAAGGGUACGUAGGCGGAUAUAUAAGUCAAAUGUGAAAGGCACCGGCUUAACCGGUGAGCUGCAUUUGAAACUGUAUAUCUUGAGUUCAGGAGAGGAGAGCGGAAUUCCUGGUGUAGCGGUGGAAUGCGUAGAUAUCAGGAAGAACACCAGUGGCGAAGGCGGCUCUCUGGCCUGAAACUGACGCUCAGGUACGAAAGCUGGGGUAGCAAACGGGAUUAGAUACCCCGGUAGUCCCAGCCGUAAACGAUGGACACUAGGUGUUGGGGGUUCGAAUCCUUCAGUGCCGAAGUUAACGCAUUAAGUGUCCCGCCUGGGGAGUACGGUCGCAAGACUGAA
rnacentral:rRNA from 1 species